rnacentral:rRNA from 1 species
GAUGAACGCUGGCGGCGUGCCUAAUACAUGCAAGUCGAGCGAACGGACGAGAAGCUUGCUUCUCUGAUGUUAGCGGCGGACGGGUGAGUAACACGUGGAUAACCUACCUAUAAGACUGGGAUAACUUCGGGAAACCGGAGCUAAUACCGGAUAAUAUUUUGAACCACAUGGUUCAAAAGUGAAAGACGGUCUUGCUGUCACUUAUAGAUGGACCCGCGUUGCAUUAGCUAGUUGGUAAGGUAACGGCUUACCAAGGCAACGAUGCAUAGCCGACCUGAGAGGGUGAUCGGCCACACUGGAACUGAGACACGGUCCAGACUCCUACGGGAGGCAGCAGUAGGGAAUCUUCCGCAAUGGGCGAAAGCCUGACGGAGCAACGCCGCGUGAGUGAUGAAGGUCUUCGGAUCGUAAAACUCUGUUAUUAGGGAAGAACAUAUGUGUAAGUAACUGUGCACAUCUUGACGGUACCUAAGCAGAAAGCCACGGCUAACUACGU